rnacentral:tRNA from 1 species
AUCAGGAUCUGCUACAUAAGCAAUUGGGCCCAUGCCCCAAAAACGGUAUAUUACACCUCCUGACA